AACGGUCCUAAGAUACCAUGCGUACAGCAUUAAAGGACAUUGCAUAAUUUCACAAGGUUACUGUGAUGUGGUGUAUGAUGGAUUGGAAAACCGGUCGUAGUUCAGGACGUUCGUCCCAACACUGUUCCAUUAAGGAAUGCAAUGCCCCUGGAGCAGCUGAAAUAGGCAAGCAUUACUGCUUUCGUACUUUCCGGCAAGGAUCACUCCGAUAACGGACCCCGCAGUAAUCAACAUCAACGGUAUCAGAAUGGCAGCUGCCAGUGCUCCUGUGCUCAUGGCAAAGGUAUCGUUUACCGGGUGCACACACUGCCGCUUUUCCAUCGAAACCACAACGCGGCGUAUUGGGUGGGAGCCGAGUUCCCCAUCCCGGCCAAUCUAAAACGCUCAAAAGAAUGGCGGUGCUGGAUUCCACUGGAAUACCAAACGCGAUCUGGAAACAGCAUUAAGCGUAUAUAUACCUGGGUGUAGGAAAAUAUCCGAUCACCGGUGUCAGCGAACGAUGCCGGUCCGUUUACGGGACUGACGAAAGUGAAACUUGUGGAAAACAGAUCGGGAAAGUGCUCCGAAAAAUUUUGAAUUCCGCUCAUGCGCAGAGUUUUAACCAGAGUGGCGAAGUACACAACGGCGUCGUAAAAAUG